GGACCAAUUUGUUGGUCGUGCCUCGGUACGUACUGGUAUUAUUGGUUUCUACCUUCUGAAGGACCUUGAUGUCAUUAAUUUGGUGUCUUGGGGAAUCAGGACUGUUACUUUGAAAAAAUUAGAGUGUUUAAAGCAAGCAUACGCCUGAAUACAUUAGCAUGGAAUAAUGAAAUAGGACGUUGAUCUUAUUUUGUUGGUUUCUAGGAUUGACGUA
rnacentral:rRNA from 1 species